CGAAUUGGGCUGAUAAAGGGAGGCUUGAAAGUGUUACUUAGGCCUCAUUAAAAACCUUGUCAAGAAAACCCAUUGGGACAAAACUUGACAAGGGAAAAAGAGUGCAUAAGCAACACUUAACCCUUUACCGAGCCUCUUGAGCCGUGAUCACUAUGAAUGAGGAUUGAGCCACGUCUUCUUGAUUCUUCUUUAGCUCCUUGAGUAGUCCAUUGAUAGCUUGGUUGAACUUCUUGGAUUUUGAUCUUGUUAGAGGACCCGCCGGAACGAUUAAUGCUUCCUCCGGUACAAGCUGCUCCUCGGCUUCAAGCUGCUCCUUGUCUUCUUGUGGUUCAAGUGGUUUGGUUGCAUAAGUCAUGUUCUCAUCAUCCUCUCCCACUUGAAAAGGAUUUGACCUCAAAUCCAAAUUAUCUGCAAAAAAA
rnacentral:sRNA from 1 species